rnacentral:lncRNA from 1 species
UUUUUAAAUGCCUGUAACACUCACCUUUAGCUUUAUGCAUUCUGUACAUUUCAUAUGCUCAUUUCAGAAUAGCUUACGUUAACCUCUAGGUUACAUAUUUUUAAAGUUACUUGCUAUAUUUGGUUUAACUUUUGGUUCUAAUUUUAUCCUGAGUGUACCACAUUUAGAUCAGAACAUUUAACUGUUUAUAUUAAUAGUAUGUCUUUAUCUUGCUGACAUUUUCCUCGAGUGAUCUAUGUGUUUUUACAGAAGACAUUUCAUAAAAAAUUUUUCAGUUAUUGUAAUAUAAGGUAUCUCUGUUAAAGUAUACAUUAGCUUAAAUUUUUAGUUAUUUUGGGCACUAAAUCUUUUUAAAAUGUAAUCAAAGCAAUACGAAAUUUACCAAGAUCCUAAAAUUACAUCACUAAAUAUUUCUAUAAAUAAUCUCAAAGACUUUUGACAAGGCAUUUGAACCAGUUUCUGACUUUAAUAUCUGACUGUUUAUUUAGAAUCCUUUAAAAUACAUGAAGUUAUCUGGCUUAAAAAAUUAUACUAAACAAAAUCAGAGUUUAAAUGGGAUUUGAAGUCUAGCUCUUAAUAUCCUUAUUUGAAUAAAGUAGUAACCUCAUGCAUAAAUGUCAGUAAAAAUCACUUGAUGCUAGCUUAUAUAAUAUUCUCAUGUCAAACAUUGCACUAAAACCAUCUUUAAAAUAAUAAACACUAAGUUAAUGUUGGAUAUUUAUAUCUCACUUUUAGAGCACGUAGAAGAAAAAUAAUAAGGCAAAUAGAAAUGGAAAUAAUUACUUACUAACCAGUCAUAUCACUAAAUAAUAAAAAUGUAAUUAAUAAUCUUGUACCACAUCAUUACUCCUUUGGACAAUAAAGCUGUAAGUCUAAGAGCAUAAGGACACUAGAAAUCUCUCCUUCACUUUUGGCGGGUAUUUGAUAGGCCAAGGAUGAAGGAAUUCAGGGUAAAACCAGUGAACAGUAUACACACAAGCCCAUUGCUACUCUUCUUUUGCCAAAACACUCUUUAUCAUAAAGAAUGUUGUAUAAGACACUUGAUGACGAAAAACAUAGAAAAUUUGUGUAUGGUGCUGGCAGUGUUUGCAGAAGAACUGUGGGUGAAGAAAGCAAAUCAAAUAAAGAAUGAGCCAAUUCUAGUGAUAAUAAAUCACUGUCCCUUCCAAGAGGGAAGGCAUCCAAAAUAAUCAACUUCCUCAUGGGCGGUUGGUUAGUCCCUCUGGGGAGAGAUACUAUUCUGAGGGAUUAGUAUAGGCCACACUGUCUCCCCAGAGUUCCAUCAAUAUCUGUUUCUCUCUUAAAAUGAUACUAAUUUGACCUUAAUAAGAUGUCCAGGUUAAAUACCUAAAUUGGCAGUAAUCAGAUCGCUCUUGGUGAGGGGAAGCCCAUGUUACUAAAAUCAUGGAAAUUUCAUUGCUGCCAUUUUGUUCAUGACCCCAGUGAGCCAGCUCUGGAGUUGGUGAGGAGAAGCUGACUGACAAUGAGUCAUCCUGAUCAUUGAUCACUGAGAUCCACUUCUGUAAUGGGGGAACUUCACAUCCUUGACUAUUCUAAGGAAUCUAUCCACAAAUUCUUUCCCAGAUCUACAUUUCAUCAGUCCUUCAAUAUUCUUCCUGAACUUCUGGCCAAGCUAUUAGCCACUAUGUAUUAAUUCCUCAAGAUUUAUAUCUCUGUCCCUUUCUCCUUCCAAGCAAAGUAAAUAUUCAGAUGCACUGCUUGUAAUUUUUCCUAUUGGAAGGAUUUCCUUCCCCAAAGUCCUUCUGGGCCACCUCCAACAUGUAAUACAAUACUGCAGCAGUCCAAUUCAGCUAGUGCCAGCUUUUGUACAAAACCACAAUAAACCACACUUGAAUUUUUACCUUUUCAGUCAACUGAUCAAAGGGAACUCCCUGUGAGACAAGAUGAGGAUUGAAGGUAAAAUAUUAGGCAGAAGUAGAUGCCAAGAUAACUGGAGACACACAGUAUGCACACCUUCGAUGACUUCUUAAGUCCCGUCUCUUAUACACCAUUGCCGCUCCAUGGAGCGCUUUUGAGCAAACCCAACUUCAUGUCUUGGAUGAAAGAGCAGUUCUGGUCAAAUGUUCAUGAUGCAUCUUAGCUGGGUAUUCAGUGUCUACCAGAGACUGGCAAGUUGGGAGCAGGAACUCUUUGACAAAGAAGGAAAGGAU